GCUUAGCUCAGUGGCAGAACAUCUGCUUUGUAUGCAGAAGGGCCCUGUUUCAAUCACUGGCACCGACA